GGAUGGCUGCUAGGACUGAAUGGCAUUGUCGCUGACCAAUUACUGUUGAGGACAAGAGGCUAGACUGGGGGUUUGGGAAGGUUUUUUGCUGGAACGUUCUAGAGCGAGAGAUUGGCGGUUCCCCUGAACUUAGUUUUUUGGAGGCUUAACAUGUGCAGUAUAUAGGUCUAAACUAACUUCUUUCAAGUCUAACAUGGUUUGUUAGCGUGAAAGUGUAGCCUUCUCUCCGCUAUAUGCGUUGUUUGUUUUGUUUGUGUUCCGUGAAGCGCUAACGCUAUCUUAGCUACAACUCCCUGCUCCACCACUGAGCGGGCUGCUCCUCUAUGAGGAGGACGGAUCCGCCACACUACUGCCCAUGUGGUGGGAGGACCGGGGUCUCAGCACAAAUCAUCGCACUUGUGUGAGAAGUGAGAGCAGACGUGAGUGGUUGCUUGUCUCGGACGCCACGGCUCAUCUCCGUACGUGUCACAGACUUGAUGUCACGGGGGAGGUUGUGUACCUCAAACUGGGGCCAGUUCAUGUGCAUGCCAGGGCCGUGACUGUUGCUGAACCACUUCAGAUCAUCCUGCGUGUUAACGGCGAGAACGGUGCCGUUUGAUGUCCAGGAGCACCUCUUUGAGGAAGUUGAGCCUCUUCACUUCAUGCUGCUGACACUGGUCGAACACCUGCUCCAU